AAUACCUACGGGGCGCAGCAGUGGGGAAUAUUGCACAAUGGGGGGAACCCUGAUGCAGCGACGCCGCGUGAGUGAAGAAGAAUUUCGGUAUGUAAAGCUCUAUCAGCAGGGAAGAUAAUGACGGUACCUGACUAAGAAGCCCCGGCUAACUACGUGCCAGCAGCCGCGGUAAUACGUAGGGGGCAAGCGUUAUCCGGAUUUACUGGGUGUAAAGGGUGCGCAGGUGGCAGGGCAAGUCAGAUGUGAAA
rnacentral:rRNA from 1 species